rnacentral:lncRNA from 1 species
UGAAAACUUGCUUCCCAAACUUUUCCCCCCACCUCGUGCACACUGUACGCUGUGUUUGUUUGAGUGUUAUAGAACUCAUCCAAGUUUUCAUUUUCAAUCUACUUCAUUGUGAUCCUGAUGAGCUUUUCGGAUGAAUCUACGCUUCACAGGACCCGUCAGCAUAUAGGUUUCUCCUUAUUCUUUCAGCAGAUUCAAAAACUGCUUUGUUUGCCAAUCAGAACUUUUCUCCUCUGAAGUGACUCCUCUAGGUUAUGUCUCAUUUGUUUCUUUCUGAUAUAAAUUUUUAAGAUUCAGAAUGCUCCUGUUUGUCUUAAGAAUACUUCAAUUUCGUGAAGAAUGUCUUACAUGACAUCCCGUAGUGACGAUCAAGCUCCCGACCAUUAUGGAGGUGGCACAGCCGGAGGGAUCGUCACCCCUGAUAUGCAUGUUUUAAAUCAGCCUGAUACCUUCGGAAUGCAGAAUCCUAUUGAUAUGAACGCUCCUCAGCCUCUCAGGAAUGAUAAUGAUAUUUCUAGUUCAGAUCCAUUAAUUCUGAAUCAGGAGACUCAUUUCCUUCCUGACUAUGGAACUGAUUUCGACUCUCUACCCGUCUAUCAUGAUGACGUUCUACCACCUGGUGUUGGAGAUCUUCCUGAUUACCCAAAUGCACCAAUUAGUGAGAACAAUGGGUUUUACUGCAAUGUAAACCAUCCUAUCAAAGCCGAGAAUAAAUUAGACGAUGACAUCAAUGCAUUCUUGAGUAAAACUUCCGAAAAACAUGAAAACAAGCUAAAGCGAGACAUAGACAACUUUGUGAAGAUGAAUUCAAAGGCUGCCGACCGACGCAUGAGUGAAGAUAUCAAAGCAUUUCUGAGAAGAUGUAGAAGUCCUUCGCCCAUUGAAAGUGCGAAAAGUUUGUUUCCAAAAACUAAAAGUUACUCAAAACCAAGUCGGAGUUCAAGUCGAGCACCCUCGAAAGCCAGAGCUUCAUCGCCAUUUGACAGUAAACUAGCAGCUCGCCAAUCUCGAUCAAUGAGACCGUGA